UUUGGGGGAUUAGUGGCGAACGGGUGAGUAACACGUGAGCAACCUGCCCCUUACUCUGGGAUAAGCGCUGGAAACGGCGUCUAAUACUGGAUACGAGUCGCAACCGCAUGGUUAGUGACUGGAAAGAUUUUUUGGUGAGGGAUGGGCUCGCGGCCUAUCAGCUUGUUGGUGAGGUAAUGGCUCACCAAGGCGUCGACGGGUAGCCGGCCUGAGAGGGUGACCGGCCACACUGGGACUGAGACACGGCCCAGACUCCUACGGGAGGCAGCAGUGGGGAAUAUUGCACAAUGGGCGGAAGCCUGAUGCAGCAACGCCGCGUGAGGGAUGACGGCCUUCGGGUUGUAAACCUCUUUUAGCAGGGAAGAAGCGAGAGUGACGGUACCUGCAGAAAAAGCACCGGCUAACUACGUGCCAGCAGCCGCGGUAAUACGUAGGGUGCAAGCGUUAUCCGGAAUUAUUGGGCGUAAAGAGCUCGUAGGCGGUUUGUCGCGUCUGCUGUGAAAUCCCGAGGCUCAACCUCGGGCCUGCAGUGGGUACGGGCAGACUAGAGUGCGGUAGGGGAGAUUGGAAUUCCUGGUGUAGCGGUGGAAUGCGCAGAUAUCAGGAGGAACACCGAUGGCGAAGGCAGAUCUCUGGGCCGUAACUGACGCUGAGGAGCGAAAGGGUGGGGAGCAAACAGGCUUAGAUACCCUGGUAGUCCACCCCGUAAACGUUGGGAACUAGUUGUGGGGUCCUUUCCACGGAUUCCGUG
rnacentral:rRNA from 1 species